GCCUCCGUAGCUCAGUGGAUAGAGCAACGGUUUCCUAAACCGCAGGUCGUAGGUUCGAUUCCUACCGGGGGCGCCA
rnacentral:tRNA from 3 species